GACGAACGCUGGCGGCGUGCUUAACACAUGCAAGUCGAACGGAAAGGCCCUGCUUUUGUGGGGUGCUCGAGUGGCGAACGGGUGAGUAACACGUGAGUAACCUGCCCUUGACUUUGGGAUAACUUCAGGAAACUGGGGCUAAUACCGGAUAGGAGCUCCUGCUGCAUGGUGGGGGUUGGAAAGUUUCGGCGGUUGGGGAUGGACUCGCGGCUUAUCAGCUUGUUGGUGGGGUAGUGGCUUACCAAGGCUUUGACGGGUAGCCGGCCUGAGAGGGUGACCGGCCACAAUGGGACUGAGAUACGGGCCAGACUCCUACCGGAGGCAGCAGUGGGGAAUAUUGCACAAUGGGCGGAAGCCUGAUGCAGCAACGCCGCGUGCGGGAUGACGGCCUUCGGGUUGUAAACCGCUUUCGCCUGGGACGAAGCGUGAGUGACGGUAAUGGGUAAAGAAGCACCGGCUAACUACGUG
rnacentral:rRNA from 1 species